rnacentral:rRNA from 1 species
GAAUAUUGGACAAUGGGGGCAACCCUGAUCCAGCCAUGCCGCGUGUGUGAAGAAGGCCUUUUGGUUGUAAAGCACUUUAAGCUGUGAAGAAGGCUCCAUGGUUAAUACCCCUGGACGAUGACAUUAGCAGCCGAAUACGCACCGGCUAACUACGUGCCAGCAGCCGCGGUAAUACAGAGGGUGCAAGCGUGAAGCGGAAUUACUGGGCGUAAAGCGAGCGUAGGUGGCUUGAUAAGUCAGAUGUGAAAUCCCCGUGCUUAACCUGGGAACUGCAUCUGAUACUGUUAGGCUAGAAUAGGUGAGAGGAAGGUAGAAUUCCAGGUGUAGCGGUGAAAUGCGUAGAGAUCUGGAGGAAUACCGAUGGCGAAGGCAGCCUUCUGGCAUCAUAUUGACACUGAGGUUCGAAAGCGUGGGUAGCAAAC